GGAUGCUCUCCUUAUGGUGUGAUGGUGGCCGGAUUCAAAACAACACUACUCCUGGAGCCGGGUAAGAGGCUGAUUAUAUUUAGAGUACAUUCACUUCCCACGGUCAUCUGGUAGGAAAGGAAGCACUGUUGAAACCUCAUCUUCUCCACUGGACAGUGUCGUGACUGGGGGAAUUAGUGGAAGAAAAAAGGAUAAACCCACCUGGGGUCUAGAUCUAGAAUGCUAAUCAGAGCUUGAAGUAACACAGCUUUUUUUUUCUUUUUUUUCUUUCUUUUUUUUUUUUUUUUUUCUUUGUAGGACCACACCUGAGGUAUAUGGAGGUUCCCAGGCUAGGGGUCGAACUGAGCUGAAGCUGCCAGCCUACACAACAACCAGGGCAAUGCCAGACCCAGCUGUGUCUGUGACCUACAUCACAGCUCACAGCAACGUCAUCGGAUCCUUAAUCCACUGAGCAAGGCUAGCCUGCAUCCUCAGGGAUACUAGUCAUGUUCGUUACAACUGAGCCACAGUGGGAACUCCCAAGACAGAGCUAUUUUUGCCUGGCUUUCACAUCUGAGAUCUCUUCCAAAAUAGAAACUGUUACUUUCACUCUCUGGGGGCAACUUGGGGUAAAGGAUUAGCAGGUACAUGCCCUUAGUAUAAAUUUCAGAUGCCUAGGACAUCAAUCUCCCUUGAAAGAGGCCAACCUCUCCUUUCUCCAUUUUCAGCGGGUACCAAAUCUAGGCUUAUUCUCACAGCUGCUGGAUGAGAAGCAGGUAAUCCUCAAAUUUUUUUCGCAAGGAAAGGGCCUAGAUUUAGCACAUGCUAUAGCAGACAGGGGCUUUAGAGAUUUAUUACAGAGGAUGAGCGAAGUCAAGUUGAAUUGCUUGAGACAGAGCAAACUCUGAGCAAGCUCACGUGCCCCCGUCGACUGACUUCUUAACUGUCUUUCCAUCCUCUUCCCUUUUUAUUUGGGGAAACAGACUCUCCGCUGUAGCUCUGGGGUGUGUGUCAGCACUUUAUCAUUGCUCGUGUUAAUUUCCUCAUGCGUCUUUCCCACCCAGCACCAUGUGCUGAAUCAUCCCCCGUGAUCCUUUUCUGCUUUGAGACUGAACUCUCCAGUGUCACAAGCGGCCACCACGUUUUCUUCACAUGAUAGCCAUCAUGAAAAGACUAUCAAAACAGAGCUGAUACUGUUAGGAAAGUUCUCUUAAAUGGAACUGGGAGGCCACUGAGAAAUUAUGACUUAACGCACAUCUCAGCUCAGAUGGAGUCUAACCUUUUGACCAUUUAUUGUCUGAACACAGGCAUCCAGAACAUCUGCACAACGGUCCAGAAACCCAAGAUACUGAUAGAAUUCUUACCCUAAACAACUUGUGACAACCUACCCAUUAGGGCAAAUGUUUCCUUUCUUGUGUCAGGGUGCAGACUCAUGGCUUUUGCCUUUAUAAGCCCUCCUUUCUCUUCUCCAGAAUAUUCUUUUGGUUGGCCUGAAUCCGUGUCUCCCCAGUUGCAAUUCUUAUGAUGCCGAAUAAACGCUUCCUUGCAGCCUUCUAUGUUUUUUUCAUCAACACUAUUCAAAUUUGUGCAGCCUCAGUGGACACAAUGUAUAUUCUGUUUAAUAGUCUUGCUUGAGGCGGUUUCCUAUUGUUAUCUCCUUAGUUUCCCUCUGAGGGUGCAUGGUUUCUUUUUUUGUAAACUUCUUGGGAUCUGUCUCCUGGACCCUGCCUGGAGGUUUUUGGCAAGAUGUGGGACAGUGUCCUUCCAGUCAUUGCAGUUACACUUGAGCAGGGGAGAGAGAGCCAAGGCGUAUUCUGCCCAGUGCUGCUUGAACUUAAUGGGUGAUUGGAGAAGGAAUGGAGCAGAGUAGGUUAGGCUGUUAAUUGGAAUCAAUGAAGCAGACUCUAUGAAGCCCGAUUUUAAUACAGAAAAAUAAGAUAGUAAUUAAAUAGUAAGAAUAAAGCUUAACUUGGAGAUUAAAAUGUUAAAAACAUAGUAUGAUUUUUUUCUAUCUUGAAAGACUGUACAAUUAAAUUUUCUUCAAGUUAUGAAACAAUCUGUUGUGGGGCUAGAUCCAAGGACUGCUUUUUUGGUGUGUAAUCGCAAGCAUCUUUUUCAUAAGCAUUUAGGAUGGUCAUUUUCUGUCUUUCCCAGAAAUGUAUGAAUCAUGGUAAACUUAUUCCUCUUAGAAUCAGACAUGUUGUAAACUGGGAAAUCUUUGGGGCUGUUUCUUUAAGAAUUAUGAGUGGGUGAGUGAGGUGGAUGAGUGAGGCAAUGACAUAAUAUUUACCAGAGGAUUUGGAAAAUUAAAUAACUAUUUGCAACAUAAUGUAUUUGUCAUCAGAUUAAGUAAACCUUUUUAAAAUUCCAAUUGUAUGUUGAGAACUUUUACAAUUGGCACCUUAUUUAAUAUUGAGGCAAAUUAAACUUUAUUAUGUUCUAUUUUAUAUUUUAGACACAAGUCUUUUCAUUAGAGAUUUUUUUUUUUGGCCAGUAUUUUCUACCAGCAUAUGGCUUGAUUUUUUUUUUUUUUUUCAGUCUCUUAACAAUGUCUUUCACAGAGCGGAAGUUUUUAAUUUUAGUAAAGUCACAUUUAGCCACUUUUUUCCCCCUUGGGUGGAUUGUGCUUUCAGUGUUAGAUUAUUGAAAUCCAUUGCCAAGUCAAGGUCUUGUAGAUUUUCUUCUAGAAGUUUUGUAGUUUUGCAUUUUAUUCUUAGGUAUAUGAUCCAUUUUGAGUUAAUCUUCUGCAUUGUGUAAGUAAUGUGUCCAGGUUUAUUUUUCUGCAUGUACAAUUCUCUGGUACAAUUGUUCCAGUGUCAUGGCUUAAAGUCAAAGAUGGUCCUUUCUCCAUUGAUUUGACUUUGCUUCUUUGUCAAAGAUCAGUUGGCUACAUCUGUGUGGGUCUCAUUUUGGACUCUAUUCUGACCCAUUAAUUUAUGGGUCUAUGCCUCUGCCAGUCUUUUUUUUUUUUUUUUUGUCUUUUUGCCAUUUCUUGGGCUGUUCUCACGGCAUAUGGAGGUUCCCAGGCUAGGGGUCCAAUCAGAGCUGUAGCUGCCAGCCUACCCCAGAGCUGCAGCAAUGCGGGAUCCAAGCCACGUCUGCCACCUACACCACAGCUCAAGGCAAUGCCAGAUCCUUAACGCACUGAGCAAAGCCAGGGAUCAAACCCGCAACCUCAUGGUCCCUAGUUGGAUUCGUUAACCACUGAGCCAGGGCGGGAACUCCUCUGCCAGUUUUAAUAGAUGAAGAAUAAUUUCAGGGAAGUUAAGUGAUCAUCUUCAAGUUGUAGAUUCACUAAGUUGCAGAGUAGGAAUUGGAAAUUACAUCUUUUGAAUUCAUAUGCCAUCCUGCUCAGUAAACUACAGUUACCUCCCUUCCAAUGUAGAACAAAAACUCUGUGCUACUGUUAAUCAUGAUACUGGUGCCCCUUCCUAGUUGGCCCUAUGACCUUCGCGCACGUUGGCCACAAGGGGGCAGAGUUGACAGAAAGAGUGGCUGCUGGAUAGAUGAUACCUUGUACACAGAAAGUCUUGUCUACCUGUGCAAUCUGAACCUUGGCAUUGACUAAUUGGAAGCUGAUUGCUUUAUUGAAAUAUGCACAGGUGCAAAUUAAAACCCAAGUCCCUUCACAAUCUAAGAUGGAAGAUUUCUGGUAAUACUGUACUUGCUGAAUAAUGAUGCGAGCUGCUAAGGAUGCAGCUGUAAAGGGCUUGAUUAUUGGCUUCUGCUUCCACUUCCUAUAAGUUUAUAGAAAGGAGAGAGGGUGUAAUCAGUUGUGCUUUGAGAAAUUUUUGCAGAGCCCUAGUUUUGAUAUUGUAGAAUUUUUAAAGAAAGGUGUAGUUUGAAGUUUAAAUUUAAAAAAAAAAUUUAGAAAACGCAAUAAUAUAGAUGUACACAAGUCUGGAAUUGUAUGAGAUUUAAAGUAUUUCAUACAUACACAUAUCAUUGUUUUUUAACUUAAGAAAUAGAUAAGCUUUCAGUGAAAGACCAGUGUUUUCUGGCUUUCAGGAUGAAUGGACCUCCUGGUCUUUAGCCCACAGUGAAUCAUCUAAGUAACAGUGAAAAGAAUUUAAGACUUAAGUCACCUUCUGUGGAACUUGGGUGAAAUCUUGAAUUCUUGAUAAUGAAUGAAUUCUAAAAUAUCAGUAUUAUUACAUACAGCAAUUAUGAAUAUUCCUUCUACCCAUAUUUUAUGAUGGGUUGUUGGGGUUAUGGCAGGAGAAUGAAUGAUCAUCUGAUUAGGGCUCUCAUAGCACGGUUUACACCCAGUCAUACACUCUGGAUAAUUUGGUAUCUGAUACAAACCUCGUCUCAAAAUUAUUUUGUCCUUCUAAAGCUUAAAGUUUAGAGGUAAUUAAGAAGACAUACAGAUUGUAGAAUAGGGCGUCACCAAGUUCCUAGAAGGAUUUUGGCAAAACACUUGAGAGAAGUUUGGAAUAUUAAAAGCUAGAUUCUUUAAUAAUACAUAGUGUAGUAACUCUAAGGGGUCAAGAUGUUAUUCAUAAAGAAUAUAUAUGUAGUUAUAGUUGCAGUGAGUAUUCUUUUAAGAUGUUUUAUAAAUAAAAAUAGUUGAGAUGGAAACUCACAGAAAUGAAACUACUUGUCAAAUGCUGUUUUACCAAUUUGUUUUUGCACAGUGUAAUCUUGGCAAUUCCUUGCAUCUCUCAAAAGCCAUGGAUCUGCAUUUGUGCUAUCAAAGUGUUCAGAAAUCCCAGACUUCCUCCAAGGCAUCAAAAUGCUUUGGAACAUCUGUAUGCUAAAUAUAGGCUGAAAACUGUGCAAGAUAUAUUCUCUGUGCUAGUUUUGAACUUUGAAGCAUAUGGGAGUUUGUACUUUUCUGCCAGAACUAAUAGCUGCAUAGUCAAUCAAUUUAAAGCAUU
rnacentral:lncRNA from 1 species